GGCAGAUUAAAGCGGUGCACCUGAAUACUAACUAGCUAGCCUUGGAGAGAGGAGACACGAAGCCACGGAGCCGUCCCGUGUGUUAACAGCAAGCCACAUUCGAAACGCGGUCGACAAGUUUCCUCAGACAAGACUCCAGAGGCAAAUCAGAGAGAGGCCUUCAGAAGGAGGAACUGGUCCUGCUAACCCAUGGAGAUAGCGUUGAUAAAGUGGCUGAUGGCUUUAAAGAGGCAACAUCAU